GACGAAGGGUGCAAGCGUUACUCGGAAUUACUGGGCGUAAAGCGUGCGUAGACGGUUAUUUAAGUCAGGUGUGAAAGCCCCGGGCUCAACCUGGGAAUUGCAUUUGAGACUGAAUAGCUAGGGUGCGGAAGAGGGAAGCGGAAUUUCCGGUGUAGCGGUGAAAUGCGUAGAUAUCGGAAGGAACACCAGUGGCGAAAGCGGCUUCCUGGUCCAGCACCGACGUUCAGGCACGAAAGCGUGGGGAAGCAAACAGG
rnacentral:rRNA from 1 species